ensembl:lncRNA
GUGCAAGAAAUUGAGCAACUGACGUUACAGUUAACCAAAAGCCACAAAGUGGAGCUUCAAAAGGUAAUAUGGUUUAUUUACUGAGAGACUUAUCACAGAUUAUUCAUUUACAUAAUGCCAAUCUAUUUGGUUUGAAUGUGUGAAUCCAGGUGCAUCAGCAGGCGGAUGAGUUGAGAUCAGCUGCUCUCAGUGACCGAGCUCAGACUCACAAACAGAGCCUGGAGUCCUUACACAACUGCAUCCAGGUCAGCUGUCUUUAUAUCUGAUAAGACUGCAGUUCAGUCUUAUAUACACAGUCAUUUCUCUCUCUUUCAGAUGAAAGAUGAGGAGAUAAAGAGACUCAAAGAGGCUCUAGAGCAGCAUGAGGAGAAGAUGAGGAGGCAAGCAGAAGAUCUCAAAAGAGAAACUCAGGAAAAGGUUUCCUUCCUGUUUAUCUGUUUUACAACAACUCUGAAGUGCUGAUGACAGAUUUAUCAAGGAUUUUUGCCCUCCCAUGUUUAAAUUCUUGUUCACUCUUAAGAACCAGUGCAUCUCAUGUCAUUUGAUCUAAAAGAUUCGAAGGGCUGUGAAACGAGAGGAAAGGAAGUGGGAGGAACAGAGAGAUGAGGCUCUUAAAGAGCAGCGUGGGACUCUGGAGCAGCAAAUAGAGGAGGCAGUGAGGAGAGGGAAAAGUGGAGAAGGAGAGAAGGAAUGCACUGGUCUUACAGAGUAAAGUGACUGAGCUUCAGAGGGAGUCAGAGAAGGAGGUGGUAUGUCUGAAGCAAACUUUGCAGCGGUCUAAAAAGGACUUCAAGAGCUGCGGACAGCCCUCUCUGAGAAAAAAACAAAAACACAAGAGAAGAGCAGCCAGACUUGAGCAGCUGAGCAAACUCUGGGCGCAGGACAUACACAGCGAGUGUGUUUGCUUGCAGGAGUUACUUAAACACAAUGGCCUAGCUGCUGAAAACAAGAACUCAUCAGACAGGAGCACAUUGAGGAAAUGAGCAUCUUAUCUCAAGCACAGCUGCGCAUGAACAAACCGUGUGUCCAUCUGCGCAGGCAGCUGCGGGCUAAAGAUGAUGAGCUCAGACAGGUGCAGAAAAACAUGGCACAGUGGAAAGACAAAACCACUGCAAGACUUGCACACAAAUUUGAGCUGGAGCUUAACGCAGUGCUGGAGAGGUACGUCAUAUGCUCACUGUUUCAAGUGGAUCUUGAAUGCUUAUUUUUAUUGAACUUUCACAAGUUGAGUGAUAAGGAGGGUCCCAAAGCCCAGAGCAGAGCAGCAGAAGAGACUGGAGAGACUGGAGGAUGAGAUGAGAUUAGACAUCUGACUGGGGUAAAUGCCAGUGUUUAUUUUUGUAUUUAUUAUUACAAAAUUGUUCUUUAUUAUAUUUAUUUACUAUUAUAGUUUUUAUACUUUGAACUAGCUUUUAACAUUUUAAUUUUAAAUGUUAAUUUUUUUUUAAAUACUAUUUAGCUUUAAUUUUCAUACCUGAGCUUAAACUUGUUUUAUUUCACUUAGUUGCCGACGCAACAUUUCAUUUCGUUCAACAUUUUAUAUUUUAUUUCAAUUUAAAAUUUCAGCUCUUAUUAAUAAUUUGAAUAAAAUGUAUACCCCUAUCA